rnacentral:rRNA from 1 species
UACGGGGGGGGCAAGCGUUGUUCGGAAUUACUGGGCGUAAAGGGCUCGUAGGCGGCCAACUAAGUCAGACGUGAAAUCCCUCGGCUUAACUGAGGAACUGCCUUUGAAACUGUCGGGCUUGAGUCCGGGAGGGGGUAGCGGAAUUCCCAGUGUAGCGGUGAAAUGCGUAGAUAUUGGGAGGAACACCGGUGGCGAAGGCGGCUACCUGGACCGGUUCUGACGCUGAUGCGCGAAAGCGUGGGUAGCAAACAGG